rnacentral:rRNA from 1 species
AGCAGCCGCGGUAAUUCCAGCUCCAAUAGCGUAUAUUAAAGUUGUUGCAGUUAAAAAGCUCGUAGUUGAAUUUCGGGAUCGACGGGUCGGUCGCGCCUCUGGUGUGUACUGGCCCUGUCGGUUUCUCCCUUCUGACGAACCACGACGUCAUUAAUUUGGUGUCGUGGGGAAUCAGGACUGUUACUUUGAAAAAAUUAGAGUGUUUAAAGCAAGCAUUCGCUUGAAUACAUUAGCAUGGAAUAAUGAAAUAGGACGUUUGAUCUUAUUUUGUUGGUUUCUAAGAUCGACGUAAUGAUUAAUAGGGAUAGUUGGGGGCAUUAGUAUUCAAUUGUCAGAGGUGAAAUUCUUGGAUUUAUUGAAGACUAACUACUGCGAAAGCAUUUGCCAAGGAUGUUUUCAUUAAUCAAGAACGAAAGUUAGGGGAUCGAAGACGAUCAGAUACCGUCGUAG